rnacentral:rRNA from 1 species
AGAUUGAACGCUGGCGGCAUGCCUAACACAUGCAAGUCGAACGGGAGUAGCAAUACUCUAGUGGCGGACGGGUGAGGAAUACGUAGGAAUUUGCCCUUAAGUGGGGGAUAACCCGGGGAAACCCGGAUUAAUACCGCAUGACCUCGAAAGAGCAAAGUGGGGGAUCGCAAGACCUCACGCUUUUGGAGAAGCCUGCGUCGGAUUAGCUAGUUGGUGAGGUAAUGGCUCACCAAGGCGACGAUCCGUAACUGGUCUGAGAGGAUGAUCAGUCACACCGGAACUGAGACACGGUCCGGACUCCGUACGGGAGGCCAGCGAGGUGGGGAAAUAGUUGGACAAGUGGGCGACAAGCCUGACUCCAGCAAUCGCCGCGUGUGUAGAAGAAGGCCUUAGGGUAGUAAG